rnacentral:rRNA from 1 species
CCUACGGGUGGCAGCAGUGGGGAAUUUUGCGCAAUGCUCGUAAGAGUGACGCAGCGACGCCGCGUGAAUGACGAAGGCCUUCGGGUCGUAAACCGCUUUUGCACGGGGAUAACACCCUCCACUUGUGGAGGUCUGCAGGUACCGUGCGAAUAAGGGCCGGCUAAUUCCGUGCCAGCAGCCGCGGUAAUACGGAAGGCCCGAGCGUUAUCCGGAUUCAUGGGGCUUAAAGGGAGCGUAGGCGGGCGUUCAAGUCAGCUGUAAAAUCGCGCGGCUCAACCGCGGCCCGCAGUUGAAACUGGACGCCUUGAGUUCACAACAGGCAGGCGGAAUUCGUGGUGUAGCGGUGAAAUGCAUAGAUAUCACGAGGAACCCCGAUUGCGAAGGCAGCCUGCCGGGGUGCGACUGACGCUGAGGCUCGAAGGUGCGGGUAUCAAACAGGAUUAGAUACCCUUGUAGUC